CAGGAUGCCCAGUUAAAUUUGAAUUUCAGAUAAACAAUGAAUAAUUUUUUUUUGUAAGCAUGUCCCAUGUAAUAUUUGGGACAUAUUUAUUCUAAAAAAAUUUGUUGUUUUAUCUAAAAUUCAAAUUUAACUGAGCAUCUUGUA
rnacentral:miRNA from 1 species